rnacentral:rRNA from 1 species
CUACGGGGCGCUGCAGUGGGGAAUAUUGCACAAUGGAGGAAACUCUGAUGCAGCAACGCCGCGUGGAGGAUGACACUUUUCGGAGCGUAAACUCCUUUUAUAUAGGAAGAAGGUGACGGUACUAUAUGAAUAAGCGCCGGCUAACUCCGUGCCAGCAGCCGCGGUAAUACGGAGGGCGCAAGCGUUACGCGGAAUCACUGGGCGUAAAGAGCGUGUAGGCGGAUUAAAAAGUCAGAAGUGAAAUCCUAUAGCUUAACUAUAGAACUGCUUCUGAAACUCUUAAUCUAGAAUAUGGGAGAGGUAGAUGGAAUUUCUGGUGUAGGGGUAAAAUCCGUAGAGAUCAGAAGGAAUACCGAUUGCGAAGGCGAUCUACUAGAACAUUAUUGACGCUGAGACGCGAAAGCGUGGGGAGCAAACAGGAUUAGAUACCCGUGUAGUC